rnacentral:tRNA from 1 species
GGAGCCGUAGUUCAGCUUGGUUAGAACGCUAGCCUGUCACGCUAGAGGUCGCGAGUUCAACUCUCGUCGGCUCCG